ACGGGGGUUUCACCAUGUUGGCCAAGCUGGUCUCGAACUCCUGGCCUCAAGUGAUCCACCCACCUUGGCCUCAAAAGUGCUGGGAUUACUGGCAUCAGCCACUGGACAAGAUACAUUCUAAGAACAUGUUUGAGAGAAUCCCAGAAUCUCUAACCAAAAUAAUUGUUUUCAGACUAUGCCAGGACAGAGCUACAUUAUAAAGAUUGUGAAAAGUAGCUUUAUGUCUAAAUCUUAAUUAAAAAUUACAAUGAAUAUAAAAUACAGCAAAAUAGUUC